rnacentral:rRNA from 1 species
CCUACGGGAGGCAGCAGUGGGGAAUUUUGGACAAUGGGCGAAAGCCUGAUCCAGCAAUGCCGCGUGAGUGAAGAAGGCCUUCGGGUUGUAAAGCUCUUUUGUCAGGGAAGAAACGGUAUGGGCUAAUAUCCCGUGCUAAUGACGGUACCUGAAGAAUAAGCACCGGCUAACUACGUGCCAGCAGCCGCGGUAAUACGUAGGGUGCAAGCGUUAAUCGGAAUUACUGGGCGUAAAGCGUGCGCAGGCGGUUUUGUAAGUUUGUCGUGAAAUCCCCGGGCUCAACCUGGGAAUGGCGAUGAAGACUGCAAGGCUAGAAUCUGGCAGGGGGGGGUAGAAUUCCACGUGUAGCAGUGAAAUGCGUAGAGAUGUGGAGGAACACCGAUGGCGAAGGCAGCCCCCUGGGUCAAGAUUGACGCUCAUGCACGAAAGCGUGGGGAGCAAACAGGAUUAGAUACCCUGGUAGUCCACGCCCUAAACGACGUCUACUAGUUGUCGGGUUUUAAUUAACUUGGUAACGCAGCUAACGCGUGAAGUAGACCGCCUGGGGAGUACGGUCGCAAGAUUAAAACUCAAAAUGAAUUGACGG